AACGAACGCUGGCGGCAUGCCUAACACAUGCAAGUCGAACGAGACCUUCGGGUCUAGUGGCGCACGGGUGCGUAACGCGUGGGAACCUGCCCUUAGGUUCGGAAUAACUCCCCGAAAGGGGUGCUAAUACCGGAUAAUGUCUUCGGACCAAAGAUUUAUCGCCUUUGGAUGGGCCCGCGUUGGAUUAGCUAGUUGGUAGGGUAAAAGCCUACCAAGGCGACGAUCCAUAGCUGGUCUGAGAGGAUGAUCAGCCACACUGGGACUGAGACACGGCCCAGACUCCUACGGGAGGCAGCGGUGGGGAAUAUUGGACACUGGGCGAAAGCCUGAUCCAGCAAUGCCGCGUGAGUGAUGAAGGCCUUAGGGUUGUAAAGCUCUUUUACCCGGGAUGAUAAUGACAGUACCGGGAGAAUAAGCUCCGGCUAACUCCGUG
rnacentral:rRNA from 1 species